rnacentral:rRNA from 1 species
GGUUAAGCGACUAAGCGUACACGGUGGAUGCCCUGGCAGUCAGAGGCGAUGAAGGACGUGCUAAUCUGCGAAAAGCGCCGGCGAGGUGAUAUGAACCUUUGACCCGGCGAUGUCCGAAUGGGGAAACCCAGUGCAAUCCGUUGCACUAUCGUUAACUGAAUACAUAGGUUAACGAGGCGAACCGGGGGAACUGAAACAUCUAAGUACCCCGAGGAAAAGAAAUCAACCGAGAUUCCCCCAGUAGCGGCGAGCGAACGGGGAGCAGCCCGGAGUCUGAAUCAGCUUGUGUGUUAGUGGAACGGUCUGGAAAGUCCGACGGUACAGGGUGAUAGUCCCGUACACGAAAGCACACUUGCUGUGAACUCGAAGAGUAGGGCGGGACACGUGGUAUCCUGUCUGAAUAUGGGGGGACCAUCCUCCAAGGCUAAAUACUCCUGACUGACCGAUAGUGAACCAGUACCGUGAGGGAAAGGCGAAAAGAACCCCGGCGAGGGGAGUGAAAAAGAACCUGAAACCGUGUACGUACAAGCAGUGGGAGCCUCUUUAUGGGGUGACUGCGUACCUUUUGUAUAAUGGGUCAGCGACUUAUAUUCUGUAGCAAGGUUAACCGUAUAGGGGAGCCGAAGGGAAACCGAGUCUUAACUGGGCGUUAAGUUGCAGGGUAUAGACCCGAAACCCGGUGAUCUAGCCAUGGGCAGGUUGAAGGUUGGGUAACACUAACUGGAGGACCGAACCGACUAAUGUUGAAAAAUUAGCGGAUGACCUGUGGCUGGGGGUGAAAGGCCAAUCAAACCGGGAGAUAGCUGGUUCUCCCCGAAAGCUAUUUAGGUAGCGCCUCGUGAACUCAUCUUCGGGGGUAGAGCACUGUUUCGGCUAGGGGGCCAUCCCGGCUUACCAACCCGAUGCAAACUACGAAUACCGAAGAAUGUUAUCACGGGAGACACACGGCGGGUGCUAACGUCCGUCGUGAAGAGGGAAACAACCCAGACCGCCAGCUAAGGUCCCAAAGUCAUGGUUAAGUGGGAAACGAUGUGGGAAGGCACAGACAGCCAGGAUGUUGGCUUAGAAGCAGCCAUCAUUUAAAGAAAGCGUAAUAGCUCACUGGUCGAGUCGGCCUGCGCGGAAGAUGUAACGGGGCUAAACCAUGCACCGAAGCUGCGGCAGCGACGCUUAUGCGUUGUUGGGUAGGGGAGCGUUCUGUAAGCCGUUGAAGGUGUGCUGUGAGGCAUGCUGGAGGUAUCAGAAGUGCGAAUGCUGACAUAAGUAACGAUAAAGCGGGUGAAAAGCCCGCUCGCCGGAAGACCAAGGGUUCCUGUCCAACGUUAAUCGGGGCAGGGUGAGUCGACCCCUAAGGCGAGGCCGAAAGGCGUAGUCGAUGGGAAACAGGUUAAUAUUCCUGUACUUGGUGUUACUGCGAAGGGGGGACGGAGAAGGCUAUGUCAGCCGGGCGACGGUUGUCCCGGUUUAAGCAUGUAGGCGGAGGUUCCAGGUAAAUCCGGUACCUUAUUAACGCUGAGGUGUGAUGACGAGGCACUACGGUGCUGAAGUGAUAAAUGCCCUGCUUCCAGGAAAAGCCUCUAAGCAUCAGGUAACACGAAAUCGUACCCCAAACCGACACAGGUGGUCAGGUAGAGAAUACCAAGGCGCUUGAGAGAACUCGGGUGAAGGAACUAGGCAAAAUGGUGCCGUAACUUCGGGAGAAGGCACGCUGAUAUGUAGGUGAAGUCCCUGCGGACGGAGCUGAAAUCAGUCGAAGAUACCAGCUGGCUGCAACUGUUUAUUAAAAACACAGCACUGUGCAAACACGAAAGUGGACGUAUACGGUGUGACGCCUGCCCGGUGCCGGAAGGUUAAUUGAUGGGGUUAGCGGCAACGCGAAGCUCUUGAUCGAAGCCCCGGUAAACGGCGGCCGUAACUAUAACGGUCCUAAGGUAGCGAAAUUCCUUGUCGGGUAAGUUCCGACCUGCACGAAUGGCGUAAUGAUGGCCAGGCUGUCUCCACCCGAGACUCAGUGAAAUUGAACUCGCUGUGAAGAUGCAGUGUACCCGCGGCAAGACGGAAAGACCCCGUGAACCUUUACUAUAGCUUGACACUGAACACUGGUCCUUGAUGUGUAGGAUAGGUGGGAGGCUUUGAAGCGUGGACGCCAGUCUGCGUGGAGCCAACCUUGAAAUACCACCCUUUAAUGGCUGGUGUUCUAACGUAGACCCGUAAUCCGGGUUGCGGACAGUGUCUGGUGGGUAGUUUGACUGGGGCGGUCUCCUCCCAAAGAGUAACGGAGGAGCACGAAGGUUGGCUAAUCCUGGUCGGACAUCAGGAGGUUAGUGCAAUGGCAUAAGCCAGCUUGACUGCGAGCGUGACGGCGCGAGCAGGUGCGAAAGCAGGUCAUAGUGAUCCGGUGGUUCUGAAUGGAAGGGCCAUCGCUCAACGGAUAAAAGGUACUCCGGGGAUAACAGGCUGAUACCGCCCAAGAGUUCAUAUCGACGGCGGUGUUUGGCACCUCGAUGUCGGCUCAUCACAUCCUGGGGCUGAAGUAGGUCCCAAGGGUAUGGCUGUUCGCCAUUUAAAGUGGUACGCGAGCUGGGUUUAGAACGUCGUGAGACAGUUCGGUCCCUAUCUGCCGUGGGCGCUGGAGAAUUGAGGGGGGCUGCUCCUAGUACGAGAGGACCGGAGUGGACGCAUCACUGGUGUUCGGGUUGUCAUGCCAAUGGCACUGCCCGGUAGCUAAAUGCGGAAGAGAUAAGUGCUGAAAGCAUCUAAGCACGAAACUUGCCCCGAGAUGAGUUCUCCCUGAGAC